GAAUCUGCCUGGUAAUGGGGGAUAACCCGGGGAAACUCGGGCUAAUACCGCAUACGCUCUACGGAGGAAAGCGGGGGAUCUUCGGACCUCGCGUUAUCAGAUGAGCCUGCGUCCGAUUAGCUAGUUGGCGGGGUAAAGGCCCACCAAGGCGACGAUCGGUAGCUGGUCUGAGAGGACGAUCAGCCACACUGGAACUGAGACACGGUCCAGACUCCUACGGGAGGCAGCAGUGGGGAAUAUUGGACAAUGGGCGCAAGCCUGAUCCAGCAAUGCCGCGUGUGUGAAGAAGGCCUGCGGGUUGUAAAGCACUUUAAGCAGGGAGGAAGGCUCUGAGGCGAAUACCCUUGGAGAUUGACGUUACCUGCAGAAUAAGCACCGGCUAACUCCGUGCCAGCAGCCGCGGUAAUACGGAGGGUGCGAGCGUUAAUCGGAAUUACUGGGCGUAAAGCGCGCGUAGGCGGUUGACUAAGUUUGCUGUGAAAGCCCCGGGCUUAACCUGGGAACUGCAGUGAAUACUGGUUGGCUAGAGUAUGGUAGAGGGUAGUGGAAUUUCCGGUG
rnacentral:rRNA from 1 species